rnacentral:rRNA from 1 species
AGCUCUGUAAGCGUAUACCCAAGUUGUUGCAGUUAAAACGCUCGUAGUCGGAAGUUGGCGGGCGAGACGGGGCGUCUUCGCGGACGGGCCUGGGUCGGCCGCCUUUGUGGAGGGGGGCACGUAUCCGCUUGAGUGCGGGAACGUUGUCGCUGCCACCGUUUACUGUGAAAAAAUUAGAGUGUUCAAAGCGGGCGUUUGCCAUGAAUACCUUAGCAUGGAAUAAUAGAAUAGGACCUGUGUUCUGUUUUAUUGGUUUGUGAGGACCGGGUAAUGAUUAAGAGGGACGGUUGGGGGCAUUUGUAUUCCGGCGUCAGAGGUGAAAUUCUUGGAUUGUCGGAAGACAAACGGCUGCGAAAGCGUCUGCAAAGGACGUUUUCA